rnacentral:rRNA from 1 species
AUUGAACGCUGGCGGCAUGCUUUACACAUGCGAGUCGAACGGCAGCGCGGGCUUCGGCCUGGCGGCGAGUGGCGAACGGGUGAGUAAUGCAUCGGAACGUGCCCAGUAGUGGGGGAUAGCCCGGCGAAAGCCGGAUUAAUACCGCAUACGACCUGAGGGUGAAAGCGGGGGACCGAAAGGCCUCGCGCUAUUGGAGCGGCCGAUGUCGGAUUAGCUAGUUGGUGGGGUAAAGGCUUACCAAGGCGACGAUCCGUAGCUGGUCUGAGAGGACGACCAGCCACACUGGGACUGAGACACGGCCCAGACUCCUACGGGAGGCAGCAGUGGGGAAUUUUGGACAAUGGGGGCAACCCUGAUCCAGCCAUGCCGCGUGCGGGAAGAAGGCCUUCGGGUUGUAAAACGCCUUUGUUCGGGAAGAAAUCCUCUGGGCUAAUACCCCGGGGGGAUGACGGUACCGGAAGAAUAAGCACCGGCUAACUACGUG